AUACGUAGGGGACAAGCGUUGUCCGGAAUGACUGGGCGUAAAGGGCGCGUAGGCGGUCUAUUAAGUCUGAUGUGAAAGGUACCGGCUCAACCGGUGAAGUGCAUUGGAAACUGGUAGACUUGAGUAUUGGAGAGGCAAGUGGAAUUCCUAGUGUAGCGGUGAAAUGCGUAGAUAUUAGGAGGAACACCAGUGGCGAAGGCGGCUUGCUGGACAAAUACUGACGCUGAGGUGCGAAAGCGUGGGGAGCGAACAGGAUUAGAUACCCUGGUAGUCCACGCCGUAAACGAUGAAUGCUAGGUGUUGGGGAAACUCAGUGCCGCAGUUAACACAAUAAGCAUUCCGCCUGGGGAGUACGACCGCAAGGUUGAAACUUAAAUGAAUUGGCGGGG
rnacentral:rRNA from 1 species